UCCUUAGAUGUCCGGGGCCGCACGCGCGCUACACUGAAGGAAUCAGCGUGGCUUUCUCCCUGACCCGAAAGGGUUGGGAAACCCGUUGAAUCUCCUUCGUGAUAGGGAUUGGGGCUUGAAAUUGUUCCCCAUGAACGAGGAAUUCCCAGUAAGCGCGAGUCAUAAGCUCGCGUUGAUUACGUCCCUGCCCUUUGUACACACCGCCCGUCGCUACUACCGAUUGAGCGGUUUAGUGAGGGCCUCGGAUUGGUCUCGGCCCGCUCUUUACCGGGCGGCGCCGUUGGUCGAGAAGACGCUCGAACUUGAUCGUUUAGAGGAAGUAAAAGUCGUAACA
rnacentral:rRNA from 1 species